CGGGAAAGAGAGAUCGAGCUUACAGGAGACACGAGGAUGGGAAGGAAGAGAGAUGCUGAGGCCGAGCUCAACCUGCCACCGGGGUUCCGGUUCCACCCCACAGACGAGGAGCUCGUCGUGCACUACCUGUGCAGGAAGAUAGCCUGCCAGCGCCCGGCCGUACCUAUCAUCGCCGAGAUCGAUCUCUACAAAUAUGACCCUUGGGAAUUACCAGGUAUUGUAACCAUCCAAUGAUAUAAAAAUCAGUUCAUUUGUUUUUUUUUUUUUUGCCGAGGAAGAUAUCAAAUGGUUUCCAUACCUGUUGGCUAAAUUGAUUUGGCUUUGUAUGUUUGUGAUGUGAGCAGACAAAUCAUUGUUUGGACAAAGGGAGUGGUAUUUCUUCACCCCCCGUGACCGCAAGUACCCAAACGGCUCAAGGCCGAACCGGAGUGCCGGGAAGGGAUACUGGAAGGCAACUGGUGCCGAUAAGCCGAUCUCGCCCAAGGGGAGCAACAGGACCGUUGGGAUCAAGAAAGCUUUGGUCUUUUACUCCGGGAAGGCACCGCGAGGACUGAAGACGGACUGGAUCAUGCAUGAAUACAGAUUGGCUGAUACAAACCGCAAAUCCAACAAGGGAAGCCUCAGGGUAAUAAUACAAAUGAAUAACAUCAUAUAAAAAUUGCUCAGAGAAGUGCAGGUGAUAAUUAAUACCUUUCAUGCAGUUGG
rnacentral:lncRNA from 1 species